UAGUCCUUAGUUUAACGGAUAAAAUAGCACACUCCGGAUGUGCUGAUCGGGGUUCGAUUCCCCUAGGACUAG
rnacentral:tRNA from 1 species